AGCCUGAAAUCCUGCUUCCACUAAGUACCAGCUGGGUAACUUCAGGCAUCAGUCCUGCCAUGGUUCACACCAGCAGUGCAGCCCGUGCUCAUGGAGGUGAAGUGAGAGACUGGCCUGCAAGAGUGACACAUACAGAGAAGCGGAGGUGGAGCCCAGUUGACAGGAAAUGUUUCUCCAGAAGCUGAAAAGCUGCCUGGUAAAGGCCUUUCAUAAAAUGGUCUGCGUUUGGGACCAGGAAGACAGAAGACUCCUCAAGAAGAGAACUGGAACCUUAACCCACUUCAGACUUCUUCAUGUCUGAAGCUUAUUUCCACCAUCCCAUUGAGAACCAAAGAAGCGAGCUCCUUGGAGAAUCGGCUCCCACCUGGACCUUCUGUUUAUCCUUCCAAUAGCUGCUGCAUUCAUCCUUCCCAGCUAAUGACACUUCCAGCCUUUCGUGUUUCAAAGUAUCACGGACUUUGCAAAAGAUUCCAGGUUUCUAUGGAGCAGAUAGUACUUUUAACAAUCAACAUGUGCAUUAUUAUUUCCUCCUAAGGCAUACUUAGACAUCAAUG
ensembl:lncRNA LINC00968 long intergenic non-protein coding RNA 968